rnacentral:lncRNA from 1 species
GCACCACCAAAAAUCAAACUUGAUCUGUAUUUAGAGUAAAUAAGCAUUGUGAAUAAUUUCAUAACCUUCUGUUUAGGCUUACUUAUGUAAGAGAUAAGAAACAAAAUCAUCAAUUUUUCCUUUUUUUCAACCAGCAUUAACUCUUGAACAGAUAAAGUGACACCACCAGUCCAAAUUCAAACUUGAUCUGUAUUUUGUGUUAGUAGGCAUUUCAUUUCAUAAGUUUCAUUAUAUUUGGUUGCAGCAAACUAAAGUGAGAGAACAGAAACCAAUUUUUGGAGGUAUAGGAGUAAAUCUUUAUGACCCCUCUGCUACAGCAGGGUCAUAAAAAUGUUUUCAUAAAGCAAAUAAUUUUACCUAUCUAUAAACUACCCAGCUUAAUUAUUUGGAGAGGAAAUAGGAAACACUAAAUUCCGUUAUUUUGGCCUGCCACACUGGUUGAUAAACUUAUAUGAAAUCAACCAACCAUAAUCUAUACCCACUUAGGAUUAUUUUUAUCCAAGACUUAUUCAAUACUUUUAUUUACUUCACAGAAAGGAUCUGCAGAAAAAUUUACAAAAGGGAAAAUUGAUCUGUAGCCUUUUCAAGAUGAUCCAAAAUUAUCAUAAUUUUAAACGCCACUGCAUCAGUCAAACAAGUAAGCUUGUUAUAUUCAUUGUGAUAACUUCACUCCCAUAAGAGGUGUCAAUAACUUAAGUCAUCACUUGCAGAAGCACUGAAA